rnacentral:rRNA from 1 species
CAAAAUGACUCUCGGCAACGGAUAUCCCGGCUCUCGCAUCGAUGAAGAACGUAGCGAAAUGCGAUACUUGGUGUGAAUUGCAGAAUCCCGUGAACCAUCGAGUCUUUGAACGCAAGUUGCGCCCGAAGCCGUCAGGCUUAGGGCACGUCUGCCUGGGUGUCACG